UACGUAGGUGGCAAGCGUUGUCCGGAUUUAUUGGGUUUAAAGGGUGCGUAGGCGGCCCUGUAGGUCUGACGUGAAAUUCCGAGGCUCAACCUCGGCAGGUCGUUGGAAACCAUAUGGCUAGAGUCCGGAAGAGGAGAGUGGAAUUCCUGGUGUAGCGGUGAAAUGCGCAGAUAUCAGGAAGAACACCAAUGGCGAAGGCAGCUCUCUGGGACGGUACUGACGCUGAGGAGCGAAAGCGUGGGGAGCGAACAGG
rnacentral:rRNA from 1 species